rnacentral:rRNA from 1 species
GGUUAAGCGACUAAGCGUACACGGUGGAUGCCCUGGCAGUCAGAGGCGAUGAAGGACGUGCUAAUCUGCGAAAAGCGUCGGUAAGGUGAUAUGAACCGUUAUAACCGGCGAUGUCCGAAUGGGGAAACCCAGUGCAAUUCGUUGCACUAUCGUUAACUGAAUACAUAGGUUAACGAGGCGAACCGGGGGAACUGAAACAUCUAAGUACCCCGAGGAAAAGAAAUCAACCGAGAUUCCCCCAGUAGCGGCGAGCGAACGGGGAGCAGCCCAGAGUCUGAAUCAGCUUGUGUGUUAGUGGAACGGUCUGGAAAGUCCGACGGUACAGGGUGAUAGUCCCGUACACCAAAAUGCACAGGCUGUGAACUCGAAGAGUAGGGCGGGACACGUGGUAUCCUGUCUGAAUAUGGGGGGACCAUCCUCCAAGGCUAAAUACUCCUGACUGACCGAUAGUGAACCAGUACCGUGAGGGAAAGGCGAAAAGAACCCCGGCGAGGGGAGUGAAAAAGAACCUGAAACCGUGUACGUACAAGCAGUGGGAGCACCUUCGGGUGUGACUGCGUACCUUUUGUAUAAUGGGUCAGCGACUUAUAUUCUGUAGCAAGGUUAACCGUAUAGGGGAGCCGCAGGGAAACCGAGUCUUAACUGGGCGUUAAGUUGCAGGGUAUAGACCCGAAACCCGGUGAUCUAGCCAUGGGCAGGUUGAAGGUUGGGUAACACUAACUGGAGGACCGAACCGACUAAUGUUGAAAAAUUAGCGGAUGACUUGUGGCUGGGGGUGAAAGGCCAAUCAAACCGGGAGAUAGCUGGUUCUCCCCGAAAGCUAUUUAGGUAGCGCCUCGUGAACUCAUCUUCGGGGGUAGAGCACUGUUUCGGCUAGGGGGUCAUCCCGACUUACCAACCCGAUGCAAACUACGAAUACCGAAGAAUGUUAUCACGGGAGACACACGGCGGGUGCUAACGUCCGUCGUGAAGAGGGAAACAACCCAGACCGCCAGCUAAGGUCCCAAAGUCAUGGUUAAGUGGGAAACGAUGUGGGAAGGCACAGACAGCCAGGAUGUUGGCUUAGAAGCAGCCAUCAUUUAAAGAAAGCGUAAUAGCUCACUGGUCGAGUCGGCCUGCGCGGAAGAUGUAACGGGGCUAAACCAUGCACCGAAGCUGCGGCAGCGACGCUUAUGCGUUGUUGGGUAGGGGAGCGUUCUGUAAGCCUGCGAAGGUGGCCUGUGAGGGUUGCUGGAGGUAUCAGAAGUGCGAAUGCUGACAUAAGUAACGAUAAAGCGGGUGAAAAGCCCGCUCGCCGGAAGACCAAGGGUUCCUGUCCAACGUUAAUCGGGGCAGGGUGAGUCGACCCCUAAGGCGAGGCCGAAAGGCGUAGUCGAUGGGAAACAGGUUAAUAUUCCUGUACUUGGUGUUACUGCGAAGGGGGGACGGAGAAGGCUAUGUUAGCCGGGCGACGGUUGUCCCGGUUUAAGCAUGUAGGCUGGUUAUCCAGGCAAAUCCGGAUAAUCAAGGCUGAGGUGUGAUGACGAGGCACUACGGUGCUGAAGUAACAAAUGCCCUGCUUCCAGGAAAAGCCUCUAAGCAUCAGGUAACAUCAAAUCGUACCCCAAACCGACACAGGUGGUCAGGUAGAGAAUACCAAGGCGCUUGAGAGAACUCGGGUGAAGGAACUAGGCAAAAUGGUGCCGUAACUUCGGGAGAAGGCACGCUGGUGUGUAGGUGAAGUCCCUGCGGAUGGAGCUGAGACCAGUCGAAGAUACCAGCUGGCUGCAACUGUUUAUUAAAAACACAGCACUGUGCAAACACGAAAGUGGACGUAUACGGUGUGACGCCUGCCCGGUGCCGGAAGGUUAAUUGAUGGGGUUAUCCGUAAGGAGAAGCUCUUGAUCGAAGCCCCGGUAAACGGCGGCCGUAACUAUAACGGUCCUAAGGUAGCGAAAUUCCUUGUCGGGUAAGUUCCGACCUGCACGAAUGGCGUAAUGAUGGCCAGGCUGUCUCCACCCGAGACUCAGUGAAAUUGAACUCGCUGUGAAGAUGCAGUGUACCCGCGGCAAGACGGAAAGACCCCGUGAACCUUUACUAUAGCUUGACACUGAACAUUGAGCCUUGAUGUGUAGGAUAGGUGGGAGGCUUUGAAGCGUGGACGCCAGUCUGCGUGGAGCCAACCUUGAAAUACCACCCUUUAAUGUUUGAUGUUCUAACGUUGGCCCCUUAUCGGGGUUGCGGACAGUGUCUGGUGGGUAGUUUGACUGGGGCGGUCUCCUCCCAAAGCGUAACGGAGGAGCACGAAGGUUAGCUAAUCCUGGUCGGACAUCAGGAGGUUAGUGCAAUGGCAUAAGCUAGCUUGACUGCGAGCGUGACGGCGCGAGCAGGUGCGAAAGCAGGUCAUAGUGAUCCGGUGGUUCUGAAUGGAAGGGCCAUCGCUCAACGGAUAAAAGGUACUCCGGGGAUAACAGGCUGAUACCGCCCAAGAGUUCAUAUCGACGGCGGUGUUUGGCACCUCGAUGUCGGCUCAUCACAUCCUGGGGCUGAAGUAGGUCCCAAGGGUAUGGCUGUUCGCCAUUUAAAGUGGUACGCGAGCUGGGUUUAGAACGUCGUGAGACAGUUCGGUCCCUAUCUGCCGUGGGCGCUGGAGAAUUGAGGGGGGCUGCUCCUAGUACGAGAGGACCGGAGUGGACGCAUCACUGGUGUUCGGGUUGUCAUGCCAAUGGCACUGCCCGGUAGCUAAAUGCGGAAGAGAUAAGUGCUGAAAGCAUCUAAGCACGAAACUUGCCCCGAGAUGAGUUCUCCCUGAGACUUUAAGUCUCCUGAAGGAACGUUAAAGACGAUGACGUUGAUAGGCCGGGUGUGUAAGCGCAGCGAUGCGUUGAGCUAACCGGUACUAAUGAACCGUGAGGCUUAACCUU